UGAGGUGGAUAGGUCCGAGGUGGAAGCGUGGUGACACGUGAAGCUGACGGAUACUAAUCGAUCGAGGACUUAACUAA
rnacentral:rRNA from 1 species